rnacentral:rRNA from 1 species
GACGAACGCUGGCGGCGUGCUUAACACAUGCAAGUCGAACGGAAAGGCCCUGCUUUUUUGGGUUGCUCGAGUGGCGAACGGGUGAUUAACACGUGAUUAACCUGCCCUUGACUUUGGGUUAACUUCAGGAAACUGGGGCUAAUACCGGAUAGGAGCUCCUGCUGCAUGGUGAGGUUUGGAAAGUUUCGGCGGUUGGGGAUGGACUCGCGGCUUAUCAGCUUGUUGGUGGGGUAGUGGCUUACCAAGGCUUUGACGGGUAGCCGGCCUGAGAGGGUGACCGGCCACAUUGGGACUGAGAUACGGCCCAGACUCCUACGGGAGGCAGCAGUGGGGAAUAUUGCACAAUGGGCGGAAGCCUGAUGCAGCAACGCCGCGUGCGGGAUGACGGCCUUCGGGUUGUAAACCGCUUUCGCCUGUGACGAAGCGUGAGUGACGGUAAUGGGUAAAGAAGCACCGGCUAACUACGUG